rnacentral:rRNA from 1 species
UACGUAGGGUGCAAGCGUUAAUCGGAAUUACUGGGCGUAAAGCGUGCGCAGGCGGUGAUGUAAGACAGGUGUGAAAUCCCCGGGCUCAACCUGGGAAUUGCAUUUGUGACUGCACGGCUAGAGUGUGUCAGAGGGGGGUAGAAUUCCACGUGUAGCAGUGAAAUGCGUAGAUAUGUGGAGGAAUACCGAUGGCGAAGGCAGCCCCCUGGGAUAACACUGACGCUCAUGCACGAAAGCGUGGGGAGCAAACAGG